GACGAACGCUGGCGGCGUGCUUAACACAUGCAAGUCGAACGGUAAGGCCCUUCGGGGUACACGAGUGGCGAACGGGUGAGUAACACGUGGGUGAUCUGCCCUGCACUUCGGGAUAAGCCUGGGAAACUGGGUCUAAUACCGGAUAGGACCCUGGGAUGCAUGUCCUGGGGUGGAAAGCUUUUGCGGUGUGGGAUGGGCCCGCGGCCUAUCAGCUUGUUGGUUGGGUGAUGGCCUACCAAGGCGACGACGGGUAGCCGGCCUGGGAGGGUGACCGGCCACACUGGGACUGAGAUACGGCCCAGACUCCUACGGGAGGCAGCAGUGGGGAAUAUUGCACAAUGGGCGCAAGCCUGAUGCAGCGACGCCGCGUGAGGGAUGACGGCCUUCGGGUUGUAAACCUCUUUCAGCACCGACGAAGCGCAAGUGACGGUAGGUGCAGAAGAAGGACCGGCCAACUACGUGCCAGCCGCUGCGGUAA
rnacentral:rRNA from 1 species